CUCGUAGGCGGUCUGUCGCGUCGGAAGUGAAAACUCGGGGCUCAACCCCGAGCCUGCUUUCGAUACGGGCAGACUUGAGGAAUGUAGGGGAGAACGGAAUUCCUGGUGGAGCGGUGGAAUGCGCAGAUAUCAGGAGGAACACCAGUGGCGAAGGCGGUUCUCUGGACAUUAACUGACGCUGAGGAGCGAAAGCGUGGGGAGCAAACA
rnacentral:rRNA from 1 species